GUGAGGAAUAUUGCGCAAUGGGGGCAACCCUGACGCAGCAACGCCGCGUGGGUGAAGAAGGCUUUCGGGUUGUAAAGCCCUGUCAGGUGGGAAGAAACCUCUUGAGGUGAAUAGUCUCGAGAGCUGACGGUACCACCAGAGGAAGCACCGGCUAACUCCGUGCCAGCAGCCGCGGUAAGACGGAGGGUGCUAGCGUUGUUCGGAAUCACUGGGCGUAAAGCGCGUGUAGGCGGUUGAAUAAGUCGGAUGUGAAAGCCCGGAGCUCAACUCCGGAAGUGCAUUCGAAACUGUUCGGCUCGAGUACGGGAGAGGGAAGUGGAAUUCCUGGUGUAGAGGUGAAAUUCGUAGAUAUCAGGAGGAACACCGGUGGCGAAGGCGGCUUCCUGGACCGAUACUGACGCUGAGACGCGAAAGCGUGGGGAGCAAACAGGAUUAGAAACCCGAGUAGUCC
rnacentral:rRNA from 1 species